CUCGGUAGUCCAGUCGGUUAGGUUCUUGUCUUGACUACUGAAUGGGUGUGGGUUCGAAUCCCACCGUGAGA